rnacentral:misc_RNA from 1 species
UGUUAAUAAGCGUGGCGCUAACCUCUAAUAUUUUAGUAAUAAUAAUAUGCUACUUUUAUGAUCAUACGUAAGAUAAAACAUGUUUUAUUCAUUGACGGAACUAUGAUUUCUUAAGCUUUAUUCAUUUGUGUAUAUAUAUAUCUUCUAUUAGUGAGUUAGGAUUAAAUCCAGGUUUAUAAUGAACAAUCAAGCAACAGACGAUACACCAUGGUGGUUAAAAUAUUUUACACGGUUUUUGGGUUCAGCCAGUUCUUUGGUAGCCAUUGGUAUAGGUGCCUGGGCAUGUUUCACCAUUACUGCACGUUGCCUUAUGGCUGGGAUUUUGCAAAUGUUGUUGGGAGUUGUGGUUGCUCUUAUUGAAGUUCCAUGCUUUUGUGCUUUUCUUGAUUUUGCCCAAAAUCCCUACAACUAUUUUGAGAAGAGACCAUACUGGCAUAAAGCAUUACUAUAUGUCAUUCUAUCUGCUUUCAUCAUGGUAUUGUGUGGUGAAUUGUCAACAUUUGUUGGUUCUGGACUUGUAUUUGUCACUGGUAGCUUGUAUGGAAUUAUGGCUUUGGGGAAAAAAGCUAGUAAGGAUGAGAUGAUGAUGAAAGCUGCUAGCAUGUCUAGUUUGAUUCCUACCAAAGAACAGCCGCAGGAUGUUGAUGCUGGUCCUAGCUCUGCAGAAAGGUUUCACUGAAUGAAAGCGUAUUCGUAAAACACAGGUUCCGAGAAUCACUUGAACGAAAUCCUUCCCAAUGCAAGAUGGCUUCGAAUACAACAUAGAAAGGAACCCAAGUAUAGAAGUUAUUUCUGUGUUUUGUUGCAAGAACUGUCGCUGUUAAAACAUUACCCAACAAAGGAAAUGUGUAUGACUGCAAAUCCAGAGGGAAAGUAGGGUGGAGUGUGUAUUGAAAAUACUAGAUAUCUAGUUUCCGGUUGUGCUUGCUAACAAUGUAAAAAUUCCUAUCAUGUUAUGUGAACAGCAAGGGGGAAAAAGAAGGGGUUCCUAUAAUAUGACUUGUUGAUUUCGUGCUUACAUAUUUUCAUUCAACAUACGUAAAACGAUUUACGUCAUGAUAAGCAUGGCAAGCUAAAACUGUUAUUAAAAAACAAAUUUGUCAAUCAGUAGGUUGAAUAGAUUCAUAACGUUACUGAAUUACUGUAGAUUUUCUUUGUAUAGAUGAAUGGCGACUUUUCAGUAACAAGUGCAUUUGCCGAAUAAUAACAAAAUAAUUUAUUCUGUUGUUUUCUUAGUGUUUAUUAGAUAAUGUAGUUUAAAGCUGAUCGUUCCUGUGUUAUUUCACGACUGUACAAACAUUUCAAAAGUAUUUUAUUCGAUGUGAAAUUUGAAAUAAAUUUAUAUGAAAUGGUAUUUAUGUUUACGUCAUAUAAUGGUCCUCAUAUCCUGAUUACAAAGUCAUGGUAUGAAAUAUCAGCGUCCAACAUGAGAGAACAUUCCUACUCGAGUUUAGCUGUCACAGUGCAAUGCGCGAUUUUCAAGAGAUCAUAUGUGCUGUGCAGAUGUUUUUUUUUAUUAUCUGGGAUCAAUUUCACAAGAUCACAUUCAUGUGCACACAAGAACAUGCACGAGUUCAAUGAACUUACAUAAUAUAAUCUUAUAUCCAUAGAAAAUUAGGUAAAAAAUAUAAACCAAAAGUAAGUGAACAAGGUAGGCGUGUUUUAUGUUAUCAAAUAUAUUUAGUUUCGACUCAUCUGAACAUUAUUGACAAUACUGCCUUAGUGACAUGAAUUACAAAAUUAUACUAGUAAUGGAAUAAAAAAACUAAUGUAUAAAUGUUGAAUUUGCUUUCAUACAUCAUAUAGUUUUAGCAUUGUUGUUCAGAACAGAAGACUGAAAUAAUCAAACAUUUCUAACACAUAACUCUGAUUAUUGUAAACUGCGUAAUUACCGAUAGUAUAAUUGAAAAAAACUACUAAGUUAGUUGUUGCUAACUCUGAAUAAUUAACAAGAUGUGCAGUUUCUGACUGAUAAAGGUUUGUCAGCAACUUUACUUAAAAUCUCCAGACACCUACCAAAAAUAUAUUCAAUACUGAUUUUUUUAAUGUAAUACUCAGAUCUGAUCUUGCAUCAGAUUCAAUUUAAUUCAUAUU